AGUGGUUUUAAAGCUGUGUAGUAUGUGUCUGAAAAUAUUAUAAAUCAUGUUUAAUAUCCUCUUAUCACUUCUCAUCAGUGAAGAGGUAGAUAAAAGUGAUGCAAAAUUACUAGUCAACUUUGGAAAUACAAAAAUCAGCUGUUGAAAGUAAAUUUGAUUAAUCUUCAGAAAAACAACAGUGGGUAUUUCCAGCUCUACCUAGGGAUUUGUGAAAUGUUCUAAUUACAUGGAGAAUAUGGUAUAAGAAUUAGCUAAUCUUAGAAUCACAGAAUUUUACCAGUAGAACAGAUGGCCUAAGAGAUCUGACUCCAUUAUUUUAUAACUGAGGAAAUGGAGGCCUUGUCCAAAGGAGUGGCUUAUUUGAAAUUGCACAGCUGGUUAGUGAAGAGCCCAGAUCCAGCCAUAAUUCCUGUCUCUCAGAGAAGUUUCCCCUCCCAUUCUGCUAGUACAGCCCCAUAUGCCAAUUCCCAGCAGCUGGAACUCCUCUGACAGAGGGACAAGGCCUUUAGCAUAACUGUGCCUGAGCAAAAUCCAUCCAGUCGAUUUUUCCUUUCUCCCUGCAGGCCUUCACCUAAGCUUUCCCCUGCUAUGGUCCUACUUAUUCCUUCCUCACUGAGGCAUUCCAGUCCUUAACCUGAUCCCUCAAUGAGUCCAUAGUGGCCACUCACAAGUCGGACCCAUUAACCAGGCCAAUAUGCUCAGCUAGAGACCUAAAUAAAAUUUCCCAUACGGUUUCAGUAUGGCCAACAAAGAUUAUCCCCCAGCCUGGGAUCCUUGAACCCCUUGGUAAACAACUGGCAUGAGGUUCAACUUGAGAAACCUUUUAAAAAUGUUUAGAGGCCCCUUUUAUUUUUUCCAUUGAGACUGAAACUAACUGAAUGAACAUCAAUGGUCAAAAUGCAUAUUCUUAUGAUUUAGGUCAUACGACCUAUUUUAUUAAGUAGAAGAGCAUUUUUAAGAAAACGAUUUUAACCAACAAAAUAUUAGUAUCUGGGCACAUUUGAGAUGAAUACAGCUUUGUAAUCUUUCAUCCAUAAAUGAAAUCACUAGCCACGUCUUAAAGUCAGACAGUCCUACAGAUACAAAUUAUUUAUCAUUACCAAUCUACAGAGGAUCUCGGUACCAGAUAUGAGAAGGCAGCCUUGGAGCAGCUGAACGGUAGAUAAGGACAGAUAGAAUCUUCAUACAUGCACAGAAUCUACCUUGCUGGGCAUUUCAUAUUCUGUAAACCUGAAUAGGGACAAAAUAAAAGGUUGUGAACCCCUAUUCAUGAUAGCCCAUGAAGGGCUUCAGCUUUAACACUUAAUGAAUCCAUCUAACAAGAUAUACCUGCUCCUUCAUCUUAUUCAUUUUGCAAGCUAAUGUCUUAUUGGACCUUAGAUAAAACACACACACACACACACACACAAAGAGCAGCAAAGUCAUCCAAUAUAGAGAAACAAAGGAAGGACAGAAUGUCAACAGACAUUGUAAAGUUUCAUUUGGCACAUGCACAAAAAGUCAUUGUCCCAGCCAGGUGACCAUAUGCCUAUAACAUGGCAGAGCUGUUCUCUGGGCACCAAUCCAGGGCUUCAGCUACCACUUUCUAAUUUGGAUUAAUAAUUCAUUGUAUUACCUGAAAAGGUUGCAAUAAAAAAUAUCAUGUCACCUGAACCAUAUGGAAUCGCCCAUCCCAAGUUACACACUGUUUUCAAUGUUGUCUUGUGAAAUGAGUCUUCACUUUAUCCUGACUGUGGUAAUACACAGUCACUCCAUGAGAAUGCAAAAAGCAGCAUCUAUUGAGGGUGACAUGGCUACAGGUUCCGUAAGGAAGAAAAGGAAAGAAGAGAGGAAAUGAGGAUGAUAAGAAGGGAAAUCAAUAUGUGUAGAGGCCUACCAUGUGCCAAGCAUACUGAGAACACACAAUCCUUAUGACAGUUCUGUAAGCAGGUAAUGGUACUGCCAUUGGAGAGAUGAGAAGACUAAAAUUUAGGAAAGGUAACUAAAUUACCCAUAUUCAGUCAUCUAGUUGGAAAGACUCCAAAUUCUUCAUGGAAAUGACCAGCUGAAUGGGCAAAGAAACAUACCUGAAUAAAAGAAAACCUAGAAAAUAGCUCCUAGGUAAUAUAUGAGCAGAUAUUUGAUGUGUGAGACAAAUUGAAUGCACAAGACCUGAGGACAUUUCAAAUAAUAUUAAUCAACUAGUAUUAGGAAGAAUUAGUCAGAACGCUUCAUGGAGAUGGGACUUGACAUGGCUCCAAACCUUCCGCACUUAAAAUAAUGAGUCUCUCUGUAUGUAAAUACUGACCUAAUUCCUGAAGCUGAGGAACUGUGGAUGAGUGUGAAACUUAAAAGUAUUUGAUUUUGGACAGGAGGAGAUUCAGGCUGGCCAGAGUAAAAGGCUGAAGAUUGCAUCUCUCUUCUCUGUGAGGAGGGAGGAAGGAAGCAGAGAGGAGAGCUUCCUCUUCCAGCAGAAGCCCCUCCAGCUGGUUGAUAGAUCACAUCUGCAAUAAAAGGCAUCUUUUAUGUUCUUACUUCACCAAUAGGAGUUCCUGUCAUGACUCAGUGGUUAACGAACUCAGCUAGUAUCCAUGAGGAUGCGGGUUCGAUCCCUGGCCUCACUCAGUGGGUUAAGGAUCACAGCAUUGCCAUGAGCUGUGGUAUAGUUUGCAGACGAGGCUUGGAUCUGGCAUCGUUGUGGCUGUGGCAUAGGCCAGCAGCUAUAGCUCCCAUUCGACCCCUCGCCUAGGAACCUCCAUAUGCUGGGCAUUUUUAUUUUUUUAAUUUUAUUAUUAUUAUUUGUCUUUUUGUAUUUUUAGGGCCGCACCCAUGUAUAUGGAGGUUCCCAGGCUAAGGGUCCAAUCGGAGCUGUAGCUGAUGGCCUACAACACAGCCACAACAAUGCAGGAUCCAAGCCGGUCUGCAAUCUAUACCACAGCUCACGGCAACACCGGAUCCUUAACCCACUGAGAAAGGGCAGGGUUCGAACCCUCAACCUCAUGGUUCCUAGUUGGAUUCCUUUCUGCUGCACCAGGACAGGAACUUCCGAAGCAGCAUUUUUAAUAAAAAUGUGCAUAUGCAGUCACUAAAGUCAUGACAAUGAUGAUUUUAUACCUUAUAUGUACAGCACUAUAAUUCUCUUAAAGAACUUUCAUAGAGGAGUCCCCUCUUAUCCUCAGGGGAUACAUUUCAAGACUCGUAGCAGUAGGUGUGUAAAACCAGGGAUAGUCCAAACCCUGUCACUUUAGUUUUGGUCCAUACUUAAAUGAUUUUGGCGCUAGUCUUUCAAAAUAUCCAUCAUCAUAUUGCAAAACUUCAAUGUCCUCUUGGAUGAUUUAUCUCAUUGCCUAAAGUCCUAGGUUCAUAGUUCUUCAAUCUCCUAAAAUCUAAGGAUCUUAACCUUGCAUUUUCUGAAUCUUAUCAACCAUGGAACUCUUUGAUUUCAAAACCCUAGGAUUCUAAUAUUAGUCUCUGACCACUACCUUCAGAUUCCUGCCAACCUGUACACAUGAACAGACAUCAAACAGAAACAGCAAAUUCAACAUAUCUAAGUAAUAACUGCUUAGAACCUGAACUAAGGUUGUGCCUCAGGCACCGCUCCAGCCCAUGCACCCUGUCCUGACCUUCUUGCUCGCCUCCCUGACAAGGAGCAGCAGCAGGUCCACACCAACUCCAGCUCCCACCAGCUCCCCUCCUUUAGAUUUUCUGGGUCCUAGAACAGGCACAUGUGCUACAACUUGUGAAAGGCACCAGCUUCCUCUUUAGGUGGCUCAUGUUGCCAAUUAGAUGCUACAAGAUCAAACAGGGUUCCCUUCUAUAACAUGAGUUCCAGUUUGUCUCCUCAGAUUCCAUUUUGUCCCCAUGGGCCCCAGUUCAGCUUUCCUUCCCCUAUUUCAGGUCAAAUUUCUCUCCCAACUACAUGUCCUACUUCAGACCCAUCACCAUGUGCAGAGAGGCCUUCCAGAAAUUACUUCCCAGUUCCUCUUCAGGAUGAUUAGCAACUUUUUCUGAUCUUUCCACCAUCACAUUUGGGACCUUUGUGUCUCUAGAUUCUCCCACAGAUUUGUACAAUCUAAUUCCUGUAAUAAAUCUAGUCUCUAUCAUUCAUAGUGGUUCUCCUUCCCUGAUCUGCAACCUAGACACCAGAAUAGAGGCUUUUGUACAAAAUUCUAAGUCCUUUCUAUGGGGGAGAAAACAAGGUCUUAAAUGCAGAAGAAUCCAAAUCAGAAGAAAUUUUUAUAUUCUUAAACGUGUCUAAAAAAUUCUGAUUUGCUUGGAAAUAAAAGAAAGAGCAGGACUGAAAAACUAGGUGCUAGCCAUGAUUUUUAAUAGCGCCACAUCACUUAAGGAUGGUAUUUAUACCUAUUAACAUGCCUUUCUCUCCUUUCCAGAUAAAAUCCAAGAGACAGUGAUUUAACCUAAUUGAAAUAAUAAUUGAAAUAAUCGCUAACUGAAAUAAACCGAAUCACAAAUGAUUGUCUACUAAUUGGUCUUAUGCUUUCCACCAUCAACUUCAAUCAAACAAUGCAUAGGAGAUUUCAGUACAAAAUAGAAGUUUAAGCCCAUUUAUUUAUUCAACUUCUCUUCCUCUGUAGACCCCGAUAAGACUAUAGUAAAGCAUCUAAAAUUAUAAAAACAACAAUUAAAAGAACAGGAGGAGGACAAUCCACAAACAAGUACUUUGACACAUUUCUGGAAUAUGGAAAUUUGGAAAGAAUAUUUUCAGCUACAGCUGUAGCCUGAAAUAAAAAAAAGAGAGGGGGGCUGCAACAGAUAGGACAAACAACCGGUC
rnacentral:lncRNA from 1 species